ACCAAGCGGAGGAGCAUGUGGUUUAAUUUCGAUGAUACGCGAGGAACUUACCUGGGCUCGAACGUAAGAUGACUGUAGGUGAAAGCUUACAUCUCUUCGGAGCAUUUUACGAGGUGCUGCAUGGUUGUCGUCAGCUCGUGCCGUGAGGUGUCGGGUUAAGUCCCAUAACGAGCGCAACCCCUACCUUUAGUUGCCAUCAGGUUAAGCUGGGGACUCUAAAGGAACUGCCUACGCAAGUAGUGAGGAAGGCGGGGAUGACGUCAAAUCAGCACGGCCCUUACGUCCAGGGCUACACACGUGCUACAAUGGCCGAUACAGAGGGCAGCUACCUGGUGACAGGAUGCAAAUCUCCAAAGUCGGUCUCAGUUCGGAUCGGAGUCUGCAACCCGACUCCGUGAAGUUGGAUUCGCUAGUAAUCGCGCAUCAGCCAUGGCGCGGUGAAUACGUUCCCGGGCCUU
rnacentral:rRNA from 1 species